UACGGAGGAUCCAAGCGUUAUCCGGAUUUAUUGGGUGUAAAGGGUGCGUAGGCGGGUAAUUAAGUCAGCGGUGAAAGCUUGCGGCUCAACCGUAAAAUUGCCGUUGAAACUGGUUAACUUGAGUGUAGAUGAGGUGGGUGGAAUUCGUGGUGUAGCGGUGAAAUGCUUAGAUAUCAAGAAGGACUCCAAUGGCGUAGGCAGCUCACUGGGCUACAACUGACGCUGAGGCACGAAAGUGCGGGGAUCAAACAGG
rnacentral:rRNA from 1 species